rnacentral:sRNA from 1 species
AUCUUGCUCCUGCCCUGACAGAUUCUCCUAUCGGGGUCACAGGGACGUUAAGAUUGCAACCUGGACUUUCGUUGACCAUGCUGUCCCGGGUGGUACUUUCCGCCGCCGCCACAGCGGCCCCCUCUCUGAAGAAUGCAGCCUUCCUAGGUCCAGGGACCCUAUGUACUCGGAACUGGGCUUAUCUUGUACGCUUUAUCCAAAGAAAUAUACGUGAUUAGCGCAGAGACCUUCACUGCCCUAUCAGUACUAGGUGUAAUGGUCUAUGGAAUUAAAAAAUAUGGUCCCUUUGUUGCAGACUUUGCUGAUAAACUCAAUGAGCAAAAACUUGCCCAACUAGAAGAGGCGAAGCAGGCUUCCAUCCAACACAUCCAGAAUGCAAUUGAUAUGGAGAAGUCACAACAGGCACUGGUUCAGAAGCGCCAUUACCUUUUUGAUGUGCAAAGGAAUAACAUUGCUAUGGCUUUGGAAGUUACUUACCGGGAACGACUGUAUAGAGUAUAUAAGGAAGUAAAGAAUCGCCUGGACUAUCAUAUAUCUGUGCAGAACAUGAUGCGUCGAAAGGAACAAGAACACAUGAUAAAUUGGGUGGAGAAGCACGUGGUGCAAAGCAUCUCCACACAGCAGGAAAAGGAGACAAUUGCCAAGUGCAUUGCGGACCUAAAGCUGCUGGCAAAGAAGGCUCAAGCACAGCCAGUUAUGUAAAUGUAUCUAUCCCAAUUGAGACAGCUAGAAACAGUUGACUGACUAAAUGGAAACUAGUCUAUUUGACAAAGUCUUUCUGUGUUGGUGUCUACUGAAGUUAUAGUUUACCCUUCCUAAAAAUGAAAAGUUUGUUUCAUAUAGUGAGAGAACGAAAUCUCUAUCGGCCAGUCAGAUGUUUCUCAUCCUUCUUGCUCUGCCUUUGAGUUGUUCCGUGAUCACUUCUGAAUAAGCAGUUUGCCUUUGUAAAAACUUGCUGCCUGACUAAAGAUUAACAGGUUAUAGUUUAAAUUUGUAAUUAAUUCUACCAUCUUGCAAUAAAGUGACAAUUGAAUGAAACA